rfam:Brachypodium distachyon strain Bd21 chromosome 1, whole genome shotgun sequence.
CAGGGUAUCCAUUGAUCUUUUUUACUUCAACCAAAUGAACUAAAAAUUUAAAAUAACAUAAUUUUUUGAAAAACUAGUUCAUUUGUUUGAAUUAAAGAGGGUCAACGGGUACCCUG